CAGCGGCGACUGCGCUGGGGCAUAACUCAUCUCCGAGGCAUCAUCCCGGCCAGCCCCGGCCCCUCGGCCUGGGGACAGCCUGCGCCCCUAGCCCCUCGGCCUGCGGAGACCUGCGGCAGCGCCCACCGCCCGCGCCCACGCUCUUCCUCCUCCUCCUCCUCCCGGAAUCCCAGCAACUUUGGGCUUGGCGGCACACGAAGCCCGGCCAGAGGCGGGGACACCGCGAAGGCGGCCGCGGGAGGAGGAGGAAAGUUUGAAAAGUCACUUAAAGCACUGCAGGACCCCCCAUCGUCACCCCGAGCCCCCAGCCAGCCGCUCGGGGCUAACCGUACGAGCGGGCCCCGGGGAAGCCAGAGUUCCCCCGACGUCCUCUCCAGAAAAAUCACCCCCCAGGCGAAAAGUUCCUGCGGCAGCACCCUCCCCCGCACCCCGGGCCCCCUCGAAAAAAGAAAUCUCAGAGUUCGCACGACGCCGCCUCGCCGGCCCGCGGCCCCGGAGGGCGGGCGCCCUGGGCCGAGCCGGGCACGGGUCGGGGGCGCGCGGGGAGGGCGGCCCGGGCCCCGCCCGGCCCCUCCGCGCCGCCCCGGCCGCCGCCUGCUCACCUCGCUCCUGCUCCUCGGCCUGCAGGCAGAUGGGGAUGUUCUUCUUCCAGCCGGGCAUGGUGUCCGCUCCUGCGCCGCGCGGGCCCGCCCGCUCGCUCGCUCCGCUCGGGGCCGCUCAGCGGGGCUGGGGCGCCGAGGCGGCUCCCGGGCGCAUGGAGGCGGCGCCGCGCGCCCCGCGCUCGCCUGCACUCGCCGCGGCUCCGGGGGCGGCGGCCGGGCCGGGCCNNNNNNNNNNNNNNNNNNNNACAUUCCUAUUCUAGCUCCUCGUGAGAUCUUGCUUUCUCCCGCAUACGUUCUCCCCAUCUUCUUGUUUACAGUAUCUUGUCACAGCUUAUGUGUUGAGUCUGAUCCAUCCCACAAUACUCUAAGUUGUUCUAGGGAAGCACAUAUUAAGCAAGCUGAUUCUGGGGUGAAAUAUUCUAGGUUCAAAUCCAUUGGUGUCAUCCCAGGCAAUGACUUGCUUCUCCCUGCCUUUGUUUCCCUAUCUGUAAAAUGGAGAUAA
rnacentral:lncRNA from 1 species